GAUGAACGCUGGCGGCGUGCCUAAUACAUGCAAGUCGAGCGAACGGACGAGAAGCUUGCUUCUCUGAUGUUAGCGGCGGACGGGUGAGUAACACGUGGAUAACCUACCUAUAAGACUGGGAUAACUUCGGGAAACCGGAGCUAAUACCGGAUAAUAUUUUGAACCGCAUGGUUCAAAAGUGAAAGACGGUCUUGCUGUCACUUAUAGAUGGAUCCGCGCUGCAUUAGCUAGUUGGUAAGGUAACGGCUUACCAAGGCAACGAUGCAUAGACGACGUGAGAGAGUGAUCGGCCACACUGGAACUGAGACACGGACCAGACGCCUACGGGAGGCAGCAGUAGGGAAUCUUACGCAAUGGGCGAAAGCCUGACGGAGCAACGCCGCGUGAGUGAUGAAGGUCUUCGGAUCGGAAAGCUCUGUUAUUAGGGAAGAACAUAUGUGUAAGUAACUGUGCACAUCUUGACGGUACCUAAUCAGAAAGCCACGGCUAACUACGUG
rnacentral:rRNA from 1 species